AUUGAACGCUGGCGGCAGGCCUAACACAUGCAAGUCGAGCGGAGCGGCUGAAGGGUAAGGAAGGCCUAGGAAUCUGCAUGGUAGUGGGGGAUAACGUCCGGAAACGGGAGCGUAUCCCACAUAAUAUAAAGUGAGCCUAGGGUGGAUUAGCUAGGUGGUGGGGUAACGGCCUACCAAGGCGGCGAUCCGUAACUGGUCUGAGAGGAUGAUCAGUCACACUGGAACUGAGACACGGUCCAGACGCCUACGGGAGGCAGCAGUGGGGAAUAUUGGACAAUGGGCGAAAGCCUGAUCCAGCCAUGCCGCGUGUGUGAAGAAGGUCUUCGGAUGGUAAAGCACUUUAAGUUGGGAGGCGUUACCAACAGAAUAAGCACCGGCUAACUUCGUGCCAGCAGCCGCGGUAAUAC
rnacentral:rRNA from 1 species